rnacentral:rRNA from 1 species
UGUAAGCGUAUACCAAAGUUGUUGCAGUUAAAACGCUCGUAGUCGGAAUUUGGCAGUUCCGGAUGUGUGCACGUCGUGUGCGCACUUCGCGGGGAUUGCUUUUGUGGUCUUGCGUAGGAUGAGGCACUUUUAUUAGUGAACGUCCUCACGCAACCACUUUUUACUGUGAGAAAAUCAGAGUGCUCAAAGCAGGCAUUUGCCGUGAAUGUAUUAGCAUGGAAUAAUAGAAUAGGACUUGGUUCUAUUUUAUUGGUUUGUUGGGACUGAGUAAUGAUUAAGAGGGACAGUUGGGGGCAUUUGUAUUUCGGUGCUAGAGGUGAAAUUCUUAGAUUACCGAAAGACAAACUGCUGCGAAAGCGUCUGCCAAGGAUGUUUUCAUUGA